GGCUCCGUGGUGUAAUGGUUAGCACGCUGGACUUUUAAUCCAGUGAACCGAGUUUAAAUCUCGGCGGAACCU